UACAGAGGUCUCAAGCGUUGUUCGGAUUCAUUGGGCGUAAAGGGUGCGUAGGUGGCUAGGUAAGUCGGAUGUGAAAUCCCGGGGCUCAACCCCGGAACUGCAUUCGAUACUGCCUGGCUAGAGUACUGGAGAGGAGAUUGGAAUUUACGGUGUAGCAGUGAAAUGCGUAGAUAUCGUAAGGAAGACCAGUGGCGAAGGCGGAUCUCUGGACAGUUACUGACACUGAGGCACGAAGGCCAGGGGAGCAAACGGG
rnacentral:rRNA from 1 species